rnacentral:rRNA from 1 species
GUCUCCCUCUUCCUGUCUAGAAAAAAGAGGUUCUCUCGUUUGAUCUCGGAAGCUAAGCAGGGUCGGGCCUGGUUAGUACUUAGGUGGGAGACCGCCUGGGAAUACUGGGUGCUGUAGGCU